rnacentral:tRNA from 1 species
GGCGAGAUGGUCUAGUGGUAAGGACGAAGUGUUGCAAGGGCGUAAAGCCAGUAUCGAUUCCUGGUUGUGCCG